GUGGCUGUUUCGGGUGGAAGCCCCGCUUCCAGCUGAGGUCAAGGUGGGAUCCCAGCGCCGAUCCCUGCUGCUGGGGGCGGCGUUUCUUCUGCGGGGAGCGCAGUAAGUUGGGGACAAGGCGUGGGGAGUGACAGGCAGAGAUUUUCCACGCACCCCCCCCACCGUCCGGCUGCGCGGCGUGGCCGAGACUCACAUGGGAGUUGGGGCUGGCCUCCCGACGUGGAGUUUUUCAGCAAUCCUCACCAAAAUCUGCCGUGGUGGCUCCUAGGAAGGAAGGGGUUAAACGCCUUCACACACUGCAUUUCAUCCUGCCAGAUCUGCUCCGCGCCGCGAUAGGAUGUUCCGUUGGAUGGAGGCCACUCCAACUGUGUAGGAAACAAACAAGAGAGCAGUCACCUUCCCUGCUCUUUCCCCCAGGGACACAGAAGUUCAGGGCAGGAAUAUUUAAUCUAGCCUCACAGCAAUUUCUCUGAGACCUGUGCACGCUCACAGCUGGAAACAAACCCAGGCAGAGACAGCAACCCGUAGGUGUUGGUUAUGGCUGCGAUUUAUCAAGCAGUAUGUAGAAGAGCUUCCUCUCUCACCUGCAGGUUACACUCCACCUACGUUAGAAAAAUGAGAUACUUAAAUGAGCUGAAGGAAGAUGAUGGCCUUUGUAGACAAGCCCAGGCCUCAGGAACUUUCUACCUCUUUCACAACCUCUCCCCCUUCCUGCAGAAAGUUGGGAAGAAGUAUUUGGUCCCACAGCUCGGUG